rnacentral:rRNA from 1 species
UACGUAGGGGGCAAGCGUUGUCCGGAAUCAUUGGGCGUAAAGAGCGUGUUAGGCGGCCAGAUAAGUCCGCGUGUGAAAACUCCGAGGCUCAACUUUCGAGCUGUCGGUGGAAACUAGUUUGGCUAGAGUCCGGAAGAGGAGAGUGGAAAUUCCUGGUGUAGCGGUGAAAUGCGCAGAUAUCAGGAGGAACACCCGUGGCGAAGGCGGUUCUCUGGGACGGUACUGACGCUGAGAAGCGAAAGCAUGGGGAGCGAACAGG